UUACCCCAUGAUGCUCAGGUCCGCCGCAUCUCCUGGGUCGUGGGGUCGGUCGGCUGGCCUCGGACUUGCGGAUUCCUCGUGCUGCAACCGGACCAGUCGACCCCCAUUCGAAACGCCGCUUCGAAAGAGGCGGCGUUUUCGUCU
rnacentral:sRNA from 1 species